CCCUCCGGAGCCCCGUGGUCGGUGGAAAUAGAUGCCGGGAGAGAGGUGUUCCUGAAAAGGGCACAAAUGGAAUUGCCUGUUGCUGAAGCUGAUUCAGGGAGCACACUAUUGAUCCACUGGGUGAUAUUGACUCAUCUUCUUCAAUAGACUAAAUUCCACAGACGUUGGAUAAUUAACAUGACUUGGUGAUUAAAACAGAGAGUGUAUCUUUGUGUUUUACAUUAAGAAAAUUGAAGAAGGGGAAACCUUUUCUGUUUCUGUCCUCUUUCCCCCAUUUUAUCACAUGACCUAAUAAACAUAAUGGCCUCCUUGUACACUUAAAAUAUAAACUUACUACCAUGACCUAAAGGGCCCUACAUGAUCUGGCCCUACUCAUCUUUCUGACCUCAUCUCCUUUCUUUCUUCUCUUUGCUGUUCCUUGAACAUACCAAAGAUGUUUUCUUGAACC